rnacentral:rRNA from 1 species
CGCUGGCGGCAUGCCUUACACAUGCAAGUCGAACGGCAGCACGGAGCUUGCUCUGGUGGCGAGUGGCGAACGGGUGAGUAAUAUAUCGGAACGUACCCAGGAGUGGGGGAUAACGUAGCGAAAGUUACGCUAAUACCGCAUACGACCCAAGGGUGAAAGUGGGGGAUCGCAAGACCUCAUGCUCAUGGAGCGGCCGAUAUCUGAUUAGCUAGUUGGUGGGGUAAAGGCCUACCAAGGCAACGAUCAGUAGCUGGUCUGAGAGGACGACCAGCCACACUGGAACUGAGACACGGUCCAGACUCCUACGGGAGGCAGCAGUGGGGAAUUUUGGACAAUGGGGGCAACCCUGAUCCAGCAAUGCCGCGUGAGUGAAGAAGGCCUUCGGGUUGUAAAGCUCUUUUGUCAGGGAAGAAACGGUUGAGGCUAAUACCCUCGACUAAUGACGGUACCUGAAGAAUAAGCACCGGCU